GGCCCGGUAGCUCAGUUGGUAGAGCACGCGACUGAAAAUCGCGGUGUCGCCGGUUCGAUUCCGGCCUGGGCCACCACUG
rnacentral:tRNA from 1 species